rnacentral:siRNA from 1 species
UGGGUGUGAUGCUAGCAAUCA